CAGCAGCCACGGUAAUACGUAGGGGGCAAGCGUUAUCCGGAAUAACUGGGCGUAAAGGGUGCGCAGGUGGUUUAACAAGUUAGUGGUGAAAGGCAUAGGCUCAACCAAUGUAAGCCAUUAAAACUGUUUAACUUGAGUGCAGGAGAGGAAAGUGGAGUUCCUAGUGUAGCGGUGAAAUGCGUAGAUAUUAGGAGGAAUACCAGUGGCGAAGGCGACUUUCUGGACUGCAACUGACACUGAGGCACGAAAGCGUGGGGAGCAAACAGGAUUAGAUACCCCCGUAGUCCCUGUCUCUUAUACA
rnacentral:rRNA from 1 species